rnacentral:lncRNA from 1 species
GGUGGAAAGAACUCUGGCUUUUGCUAGAUUGAUCUUGACCCUCCAUAAGGACUUAUCCCUUGGCAAAAACUGGGACAACUCGUACAACCAUGAGGGCUACAUGGCUCUGGUUUUAGCUCAGUAUGAGGAUCUUUUUCUAGCUUGUUAGCGGUUACCUUAAAUGGCGUAAGAAUGGCAAGACACGUUGGGUAUAGUGUGGCCUCUGUCCAUGUGUAUAGGCUGCGGGUUAUGUGCCAUGGAAGGGGGGCUCUAUAUCUGCCUGCCGAGUGAAUCUAAUGGCCCUAACUUGUUAGACGAAACCUUUGAAAGGCUUCAUAGUGAUCCCUGCCGACCUCCCUAGGAAGGGGGUUAAGAGACUUGCAACCUCUGGCGAAAGGGUAAAUCACGACUCAUGGGUAAAGAUGUACAACCUCUAUAGAGUGUUAAAUCUGGUAUACUAGCCGUGCCCACGGAUACGGGCGGCCCGGAAAACUGAAGGAAUAGACGGACACUGAUGAAUAUGAUUAAUGAUAAUAAAUGAUGGUUUAUUAUGUUGUUUAUAUGUGUUAUUCUUAAUUCUUGUAUACAUUGAUCUUGUGGUUAUGGGAUUAAUUAUGCUACCUUGAUAAUUGCUAUCCAAUAAUUAAAUAUGCUAUCUACAUAUAAAAGCUAAAUGCAGUCAAACUAGUGUCAGCUAUUUGAGCCUCAUGAACCCCUGGUUAUACUUGUUGAGUACGAUAUGUGCUCACUCUUGCAAUUUCCCCCUCACCUCAAGAGAAGUUUUGGGCUUGUGAUCAACCAGUCAGUUGGAUCCGGUAGAGAGAAGUUAAUACCCGAAGUUUGGAGUUGUUUAUCCGCUGUUUGCUAUCAAAGGUUAUCUCUUUUAUACUAAGUACGUUAUAUAUUUAUGCAUUGUCUUUUGAUAUUACCCCUUAUUUGUAGCUAUAUGUGAGAUUUGACCUCUAAAACUCACAUAUGAUGCAUAUCUGGUUUUGUCCUUAAAAUCGGGUAUUACAAAAUCUAUAAUAAUUUCCUAGCAAUAUAAUUAGGGAUGACAACCUAUUUCAUAUUUAGGAAUGUUAGUAAUUAAGAAGUGGCUAGUUGCUAAAUGAUAAGUUAAUUAUAUACCGAGCAUUUCUGGCGUUGUUGCCAGGAGUAGGGUUUUUCUAUUUUUAGUAAUGACGGUAGUAAGUGUCAUGUAUUCUUGUUCCUACAACAUUCGUGAGAUGUUUCACAAUUUAUUUAGAAUUUUGUAUUGUGUAUCCAUAAGAUUUUCCACAGUGUAAUUUGGGUUUUUCUACGUAGAAUCCAGAGGAUGUUCCAUAAUAUAUUCAAUCAUACAAUAUCCAUGAUGUUCUAUAUUGUAUUUUAGUUAAUCGGAUAGUAUCCAUGGGAUGUUUUUUUAUUUCCCUCUAUUACAUUACUUUCCCCUUUUCUUCCCUUAUCUUUUUCUUUCCCAUUGCAUUUAAAUUUUUUCUUCUAUAUUAAUUUCUGUUUAGUUGGUGUUAUUUAUUUAUCUUUUAUUUCUUGCUUUUUCUUUCAUAGGAUUUUUCAAUCCUAUGUCCAUGAUCUGAUUGUGAUAUUCACUUAAAGUAUUUAUUUUGUAAUAUAAUAAUAUUGUUCUUAUACUAGUAGUUAGGAGGUGUAUUCUCAGUUGUUCUUAUAGUAUUCAUGUGAUAUCCCGUGUGUACUCUAAAUUACCCCAUACUAUUAUUGAGAUGUUCAAUGAUGAAUUAUGGAUUUUUCACAAAGUAUUCAUAUUUCAUAUACUGUGCAUUUUAAAAUGAUGUUGUAGUACCUAUGAGAUUUUCCAUUAUGUGUUUUUGGUUGUUGGUGUAGUAUCCAUGAGAUGUUUCAUGAUUUAUUUUCAUUCACAUAAUACCCAUGAGAUUUCCUACGAUGUAUGUUAGAUUGUUCUUGUAGUACCAAUAUUUGUUUUUUUAUUUUCCUCCAUUACGUGUCAUUUUCUAUUUCCUAUUUCUUUUUCUUUUCCUUUUCUUUAUAAUCUAUUUUCUUUUUAUUAAUUUCAUUUUUAUUGGGAAAACAUGAAACCGACAAAAAACAAAGAUAAACAUGAAACUCUCGCUUGAGACCCUGCUCACAUCACUCUGUAUCGGACGCUCAAUAGGGUUUGGCUAGCGUGUGACGCAAAACCCUACCACGCGCCGACGCACUGCACAAACUGUGCAACUUAGCCAACACACAGCGGAUGCUAGGCCAGCGUCCGAUGCCUCUGCAGCCAGCGUCCGGUGAGUAUUUUCCAGUGAAAAACAUUCUUGUGACUUCUCCGAAACAUUCCUCCGGCGCAAUAGAAAAUGAGUAUUCCGUUUCCACAAAAACGCCGAAUUCCGCCUCGCAAGCUCGGCGAGAGGAAGAGAGAAUCCCAAACCCCUCUCUACCCUUCAACCUUCACCUCCUUCACAAAGGUGCAAACACCACCAAGUGUACACCACCAUGUGCAUGUGUGUUAGCUUUUUCACAAAUAUUUUUCUAAAGGAGUUAGUCUAACACAUAUGCGAAGUUAGAUCGCUCAAGUGGCACUAGAUGACCGAUAUGCAAACAAGUUUGCCCCUCUUGAUAGUACGACUAUCUAUCCUAAAUCCGAUCAUCAACUUCUCUACACACCUAUGAUCGAUGAAAUAGAAAAGCCCUAGGCUAUACCUUUGCCUUGCGCAUUUCAUUCCAACUCCUCCAAUGUUGAUGCAAUAGAUGCACCAACCGAUCACCAAAUGAUAAGAUCCACUUUAUAUCAUCACGUGAUUGUAUUGAUCAUCGAUCUUGAUCUUACUUGCUCUUCACUGUUACCUGGGUCCAUCGGCGCCAAGUCUUGCUAAAGCUUCACCGUCACACAUGGUUCCUCGCUUCAAAGCCUCUGACAUGUCCUUCACACUUGCAACCAAUCCAUCAAGCCAAGCCUUACCUUGAUCUUCUCCACCUUGGUCAUAUGACUCCAUGUCAUAUCUCAUAUGUAAUGAGCUCCGCCAUAUCAUCAUAUAUUUACAUGUGGACUAAUCUCUUGUGUAUCUCACAUAAGGACUAUUAGUCCAUCUAAGGCGGUUGUCAUUCAAUUACCAAAACCAAACAAGGAUCUUUCACUCAUCUAGGUCUCGGUACUUUCAAAUUGCACAUUCAACUCCCUCAACUUCUUUCGAGUCUUAUCUAGGUCUCGGUACUUUUAAAUUGCUCGCUUAGCUUCCUAAUCUUAUCUCAAGUUCUCAUCAAGGUCCUGAAUUAUGCAUCUAGCUCCCUAAACUUAUCCUAAGCUCUCAUCAUAGUCCUAGUACUUCAAAAAUACACACCUAACUCCCUAUAAUUGUAUUAUUUUACUAUUUUAAUCCAUCACCUCCCCACAUAUUGUGUUGGAUGGGCAAAACUAGCUUCCUACUAGGAGCUACAGUAUCGCUUGGUCGUCCUUAUUGUGCUUGCCCAACCACGUGUCCUAGCCAAAGCCUUCGCCACUAUGGCCCUCCUUGAUUCCGCUUGACUGGCUCAUGCUCCACCUCACCAUGGCAUCGGUCCCUGCCUCGUGGCAAUCACAUUCAAAACCACCACCGCCACCACUACACUCCUGCUCCCUCAUCGAGUAGGAGCUCAUUCUCAUUCUCACCAUCUCUUCACACUUAGUUCCUCAUACUUCUAGCCUUCCUCACCUUCUACGAUAGGGUCGUCAUUGUAGCACAUGCAACAAGGUGAGUGGACCACGUGACUUGGCAGUGCGGCGGGCACGACAGGGCCUGCAUGGCAACAUGGGUGUGGCACUACACUGAAGAUGCAACAUAGGUAGGUACAGGGUAGGAGGUCAAGCAUGAUGCAAUGCUGCAUGGCUACAGCGAUAAGGUAAGCAUGUAUGCACAGUUUGGUGAAGGUAAGGACGAUGCUGCAAGGGUGGAUGGACCAUAAUAGUACAACAAUACAACUUUAGGGACCUAAGUGUGCAAUUUAAAGGUAUCACGAUUUCGAGAACCUGAAAAGUUUAGAAAGCUAAAUGUGUAAUUUUAAAGUAUUAGGACCUGUAUGAGAAUUUAGGACAAGUUUAGAAAGAUAAAUGUGCAAUUUGAAUGUAUCCGGACCUAGAUGAAAACCGGGGCAGAUUCAAAGACCACCGGUAAAAUUUACUCUUUGAACAACAUGAUAGCCGUGUGGAUACUUUAUGUGUUUGUAGUGUACCAAAAGUGAUGAAUUUAACCCUAUUUGUCAAGGUCUGCCAGUCCCCAC